CGAAACGGGUGGCAAUCGAGUGUGAUAUGCUGCAUGGGCUAAGGAUUGGGGAAGUCCGGUGCGAAUCCGGUACUGUGGCGCAACUGUGAUGAGCGGCGAUCGUUCGAGUCAGAAUGCCAACCUGAGCAAGUCGAUGAGA
rnacentral:ncRNA from 1 species